rnacentral:rRNA from 1 species
UACGGGGGGAGCAAGCGUUGUUCGGAUUUAUUGGGCGUAAAGAGCUCGUAGGCGGCUCAGUAAGUCAGGUGUGAAAACUCCAGGCUCAACCUGGAGACGCCACUUGAUACUGCUGUGGCUAGAGUCCGGUAGGGGAGCAUGGAAUUCCUGGUGUAGCGGUGAAAUGCGCAGAUAUCAGGAGGAACACCAGUGGCGAAGGCGGCAUCCUGGACCAACACUGACGCUGAGGAGCGAAAGCCAGGGGAGCAAACGGG